UUCUUCUGACCUUACAAAGGGCCAGCCCAAAGCAGUAAACCCAGCUGGCUGAUGUGCAGCGCAUGUGCAUGGCUGAGCUGUUCUGAGCACUGAUAUAGCUGCUCCUCUCCUUGGAAAUUAAAGAAGAUGUGGAAAUUACAUGAAAUGGAGUAGUGAUACAGGAGGUACAAAGGGGGAAAAGAAUUCUCUUAAGCUGUGGAAGGCUUAAGGCCUUAAAACCUGGUGGAGGAGCAAUAGGAAUGGUUGGGUGGAUGGAUGGAUAAAUACAGACAUGGGAGCACUGGAUACACACCCGAUCUGUGCUCCGCAGCCAUCAUGUGCACGAGAAUGCCACCAGCUAAAGGAAAAGCAGAGGAGGUGUGAGAAGGACAUGCUCGGCUGCUCCUCACAGGGACCCCGAAGACCCUCCUUGGCCAAGGGGAUGCAGCAGGAAUUUGGGGGAAUGCUCCAGCCUGGGUCUCUCUGCACCGGUCCCAGCAGUGAUGCUUCUGUGGCUGAUACACUGCAGCGAUGCCGCCUUCUUGGAGAGAUCCUCGCAACGCAGUUAAACCUCUGGUGACCGCUGGAUAUCUACAGCUAAAACCCAGCACAACAAACCCCAGCCAAGGUGAUGCUUUGAAACCAAAGAGGCCAGAGUUUGUAACUGCCCAAUCUGCUUAUGCUGGUGGGCAGAAGCAGUUAAUCUAACAAUCGGUACAGCAGUUACGUGACUACACAGGCGAUGCGGAGACGAGGGGGUAGGAUCCAAGGUCUGUGUUGCUACCUUGCAAAUCUGCUCUCUCCUCCCAGCCCUGAACCCAGCACUGCACGCUGGAUUUCAAGGUGUGGCAUUUGCCUUUUGCCAUAAAUACUGGGUGAGGAAAGAGCCCUGAAGUCUACAGCCCAGCAGGUUUUUUUCUUUUCCUUCCUGUAGACAACAUUGAUAUUUGAUGGUGGGGAGGGGUUUUAGUAGGCAAAAUACACCAUUUUUUAUGCAGAAAAUGUACAUUAGCAAUAUUUUCUCCUGCAGCCAUACAUAUUUUUUUUUUCAAACUCAUGCCUCAGCCAUAGGCCUGUAAAUUCUAAUUGUUAUUAAUUUAAAGCAAUUAAAAAUUGUGGCUUUC